rnacentral:lncRNA from 1 species
UGAAGUACUGAGAAGAAUGGCCUGGGCAGGUGAAGAUAUUGCAAAGGAAACCAUUAUUUCAUUGCAGAGAUUAUGAGUACAUGACUGAUAUUUCACAGUGAAGUCUCUUUGUCGUGGUUUAACCCAGCCGGCAGCUAAACACCACGCAGCCGUUCGCUCACCCUCCCCCCUCCCUCUCUGGGAUGGGGGAGAGAAACGGGAAAGUAAAGCCCGUGAGUUGAGAUAAAGACAGUUUAUUAGCACAGGAAAAUAAUAAUAACAAUAAUAAUAAUAAUAAUAAUAACAACAACAACAACAAUUAUGAUAAUAAUACUACUAAUAAUAAUGUGUACAAACAAGUGAUGCACAAUGCAAUUGCUCACCACCCGCUGACCGAUGCCCAUCAUUACCCCAAGCAGUCCAGCCCCCUAUCCCCUGGCUAGCCACCCCUAUAUAUUGUUUAGCAUGACAUCAGAUGGUAUGGAAUACCCCUUUGGCUAGUUUGGGUCACCUGCCCUAGGUCUGUCCCCUCCCAGCUCUUGCUGCACCCCCAGCCUGCCCGUUGGCAGGACAGAGCAAGAAGCUGAGAUGUCCUUGGCUUAGUAUAAGCACUGCUCUGCAACAAUUAAAACAUCGGGGUGUUAUCAGCACUCUUCUCAUCCUAAGCCAAAACACAGCAUUCUACUGGCUACUAGGAAGAAAAUUAACUCUGUUCUAACUGAAACCAGGACACUCCUGACUGGUUCUUUUUUGACAUCAGACAUGAAACGUGAAGCAUAAGUGGCAUUACAGCAAAUCACAAAGAACAUAUACUCUCUAUUUUCUCCUGAAUUUGGGGAGGAGAUCUUGUCUUCAUAUGCAUGGCAGAAGCCAGCCUCACUCAACCCGCAGUAGAAAACUUUACAAGCACUUCUGAAAAUCCCACUAAUACUAUCACUGAAGCACCUGGGCUAUACAAAAAACAGAAAGGAAGUGAAAUUCUACACAGGUAAGAAUGAAAAUUAGCUAUCUAAAAGAUGACCAGUAUUUAGGAGCAC